rnacentral:rRNA from 1 species
AGUGAACGCUGGCGGUAGGCCUAACACAUGCAAGUCGAACGGCAGCACAGUAAGAGCUUGCUCUUACGGGUGGCGAGUGGCGGACGGGUGAGGAAUACAUCGGAAUCUACUUUUUCGUGGGGGAUAACGUAGGGAAACUUACGCUAAUACCGCAUACGACCUACGGGUGAAAGCAGGGGAUCUUCGGACCUUGCGCGAUUGAAUGAGCCGAUGUCGGAUUAGCUAGUUGGCGGGGUAAAGGCCCACCAAGGCGACGAUCCGUAGCUGGUCUGAGAGGAUGAUCAGCCACACUGGAACUGAGACACGGCCCAGACUCCUAGGGGAGGCAGCAGUGGGGAAUAUUGGACAAUGGGCGCAAGCCUGAUCCAGCCAUACCGCGUGGGUGAAGAAGGCCUUCGGGUUGUAAAGCCCUUUUGUUGGGAAAGAAAAGCAGCAGGUUAAUACCCCGCUGUUCUGACGGUACCCAAAGAAUAAGCACCGGCUAACUUCGU